AAUAUUGCGCAAUGGGGGAAACCCUGACGCAGCAACGCCGCGUGUAGGAUGAAGGCCUUCGGGUCGUAAACUUCUUUGAUCAGGGAAGAUAGUGACAGAAACUGAAAAACAAGCCACGGCUAAGUAAGUGCCAGCAGCCGCGGUAAUACGUAGGUGGCGAGCGUUGUCCGGAAUUACUGGGCGUAAAGGGUGCGCAGGCGGGUAUUUAAGUCAGAUGUGAAAUUCCGGCGCUCAACUUCGGAACUGCAUUUGAAGCUGGAUGCCUAGAGUGCAGGAGAGGAAAGCAGAAUUCCUAGUGUAGCGGUGAAAUGCGUAGAUAUUAGGAAGAACACCAGUGGCGAAGGCGGCUUUCUGGACUGUAGCUGACGCUGAGGCACGAAAGCGUGGGGAGCAAACAGG
rnacentral:rRNA from 1 species